CACCCGACUUCUCCUUCAACUUCUUCGUCCCCUCCCCUCUAUCAUCAUCCCCGCCAUUCCACCUAUCAUUCACGCCAUCCUCAACUCUCUCCUUAACCCGCUUUGAUGACGAGUAUUCCUCUAGGUACUUCCCAUUUCCAGAGCCAAACGAGUCUUUAUUGUCCUUAGACUCGAGCUUUCGCUUCUCACCAGAGCCAGACUCCUUGGGAAGUCUAACAGUACUAUCCUCUUUGCUCUUUCUGUCCUUGGAGCU
rnacentral:misc_RNA from 1 species